rnacentral:lncRNA from 1 species
UUCAUCAGCAAAUGACAAAAAUCAAUGAAUCAAUGGUUGUAAAGAAGCUGACUGUUCUUAAAGCCAUUUUUUGCAACAAACUGGUAGCAAUCCUUAGAUUGCUAUAUAUAGUGGACGUUAAGACAAAACAUGGUUUUAUGAAGUCACUUUUUUAAUUUAAAGGUACUGUCAGUAAUAGAUUAUAUUUUAACUUCUUUGACUUUCAAGAGCUUACACCAUUUUCAGUAUUAUAUCGGCCAUCUCCACUGGUCAGUAGGAGGUUCUUCAACUAGAGGCUCCCAUGGUUUCCACUGUAACAUUUUUCUUGCCAGGGAAAGCUCAUUUUCAGCCUGUACAAUGACUUCUUCUAUUUGACCACCAUUCAGUUUGUCCUGUAGUUUCUGCACAUCAGUUUCUGUUUGCACCAAAUUAUAGCGCUGAUUUACAAUCUGCUCAGUGUACUUCCUAUACGCUGCAUCUCUGGGGAUGUUCUGCAGGACACCAAGGAUUUUGGAGUACAGUAUUCGCAGGCGCUCAUGGGGGUUUUCAGCCACAGCCAAUCCCACGAGCCCAGUGGUCUUCCUCAGCGCCCCCGCCAUAGCCGCGCUGCGCUGCACCACCGGGCACGGCCGGCACCGCCGCCGACUGGGCCGCCAGGCGCAUGCGCGACAGCGCGCGGGCGUCUGAGGUCACCAGUUAGAGGACAUAGCGAAGGGCGCUGGACCGCGCAUGCGUCGUAGUCGCGCUCAGUCGAGAGCGG